AAAAAAAGGGGAUAAACUUCAGCUAUUUGGCAGCACAAAUUUCUCGUUUACAUUGCAUGCAUUAAGAAGGAUUGAAUUUGUGAUAUUCAUCAGAUCUAUUUAGUGAACUUCUCCUUGAGCUGGUUGUUGAUCGUAGGACAUCAUUCUUAGGGUAACCAUAAUAAACACAGAUUUUUCUGUGUUAUCGGCUAAAAUCACAUCAAUCUGAAAUAUGGUUUUGGAAUCAAUGCAGCUUUUACAAAGGAUUGGUGACUUGAUGAAUAUCGGAGAUGAU
rnacentral:lncRNA from 1 species